AUCCAGAUGACGAGUCCCUAAAUAGGACUAAAUGCGUGUCAUCCUGGAU
rnacentral:hammerhead_ribozyme from 1 species